rnacentral:lncRNA from 1 species
GUGUGUCCAAGGGCAUGUUCGACUACAGCCUCAGUUCCCCUCUGGAGGUAUUUGAACAUCACCUAAUUAGGACAAUUUGUCAUCCACCCACGGACAAGAGUUCAUGCGGGGAGCUGAGGGCCUCAGCACUGUAAGCCAAGGGAACCUGGAGGAGUCUCGCCCACCUGUGCGUUGGGUGAUAGACACGCAGACAGACCUCAGUCCUGGCUGUGGAUCCAGCAGUGGGCCAUGAACUGACUCCAGGUCCUCUCCGCUGUGGUCUGGGAGCCCCUGGAGAAUACUGACUUAAAUAAUCACCCACAGAUGAGACAGCCUUUGUGGAAGUCCAGGAUUCCAACAAAGAAAGUUCUAGCACAACGUUGGAGCAAAAAAAUAUGAGUUUGGACACAUUGCAAAGGGCAAGAGGAACAGUUUGACUUUGUCCACAUCACCUCUCCCCUAAGGUGGCACAGCUCCAUGCCAAGACUGUCUCGGCCUGUGAUUUCUCCUGUGGGGGUCCAGUCUGAACCCUCAGGAUUAAGGUCAAAACCUAUUUGAGAAGAAAUGGCGGAAGUCAGAACUCCCGUGCUUCCUCACUUCCCGUUUCUUUCUGUUCCUCUUAUCAACAUUUCCCAUCCUGCAGAUAACUUCCUGUUGACUCGCGGAGAACUCAGACGAGUCGUGGUG